UGGCUCUCGCAUCGAUGAAGAACGCAGCGAAAUGCGAUAAGUAAUGUGAAUUGCAGAAUUCAGUGAAUCAUCGAAUCUUUGAACGCAACUUGCGCCCCUUGGUAUUCCGAGGGGCAUGCCCGUUUGAGUGUCAUUGUAUUCUCAAACCCAUUUUAGAAGUGGGCUUUGGAUUUGGAGGCCUUUGCAGAUUUAAAUCUGCUCCUCUUGAAUAUAUUAGCUGGAAACCUUUGUUAGGCUGGCUUCAGUGUGAUAAUUGUCUGCACUGUGGUUGUCUAGCACUUGUAUAGGAUUUCGCUUCUAAUUGUCAUUAGACAAAUUAUGACAUCUGACCUCAAAUCGGGUAGGACUACCCGCUGA
rnacentral:misc_RNA from 1 species